GCCCCGGGGGCGAGGGAGACGGCAGGCGCCGUCCGGGCCCGCUUGCGCAGCUGCCGGCCGCCCUCCAGCCCGGCGGGGGCAGCUGCAGGGGGACGGGGGAUGCACACGAGGGGCCAGUCCCGUCCUGUGAAGACCGCCCGCAGGGUCUCUGGUGUGAAUGCUGCGCCUUCUUUCAAGCCCCGAAAGGGAGGAAGCUCUUUGCGGGGCAGCCCUUGGAGAGGGUUCAGUAACAAUGGGGUAAACGGCAGCGGCUUGCUUAGUCCCUGAAAACAAGCCAGAAACCCCCAGAGUCUCCACAUCUUUUCUACAUCGUGGCAACCAAAACUGG